rnacentral:rRNA from 1 species
UACAGAGGUCUCAAGCGUUGUUCGGAUUCAUUGGGCGUAAAGGGUGCGUAGGCGGCGCGGUAAGUCGGGUGUGAAAUCUCGGAGCUUAACUCCGAAACUGCAUUCGAUACUGCCGUGCUUGAGGACUGGAGAGGAGACUGGAAUUUACGGUGUAGCGGUGAAAUGCGUAGAUAUCGAGAGGAACACCAGUGGCGAAGGCGAGUCCCUGGACAACUCCUGACGCUGAGGCACGAAAGCUAGGGGAGCAAACAGG